UCUCUUUCCCGUAGGCGCGCGCGUCCUAUGUAGAGUCGACAUAAAGAAUCAAAGUCGCCACGAGCAAUUAAACGAGCGUGCGGGACCAACGGAAGCGAACUUUGCCCGACAAUCACCCGUCGGUUGUCGCGCUCUUUCCUUCAACAAAUCAUGAUAUUAUCGGCCGAAAUCCCCAUCAUCCCGAGUGCACGAUAAGAGAACGCGCGCCGCGUGGGAUGCUGGGAAGAGGGGUUGGUUCGGUUCAAGCCGGCGCCCUCGCGCCACAAGUUCCUUCAGUAUACGCGCGUAGCUACAUUCGGUUGGACCCUAUCUCGUAUCGUGUCCGAGAAUCGCGUCGCCUUUCGAUGAAAACUACCACGAGGAGGUCGUAUUUUGUCGAAAGCGGCUUGUAUUACGCGACGAUGUACCAUCGCGGGCCCGAUAAGAAAUAAGAGAACUUCGGGAAUUCGGGCCGGCGUCGAUUUGAAAAAAUUCACCAGUCUCCAAAGUGCUUCUUAAUUUCGAACGGCCGUCCCCAUAACUUCGAACCCGUCGCCCUGUGUAGGGAUUUGCAUACCGCUCGAUCGCUCGUCGGGGACAUCAAAGCGACGGAAUAUCGACGUGACCUGCUGCGCGUUCUCGUCGUGACGGUUUCUCGAUUCUUCGGGAACUUUUCGUAACGACGCCGUUUCCGUCCAAUAUCACGCGGAUCGCUCAAAGUGCUCUUCGAAUCACGAUGAACAGAAGGGUGCCGCUGGUGCGGAAAUGAGCCGUUUACGGCUCGUGUUCGUCUUUUUCCCGUCGCGAGGGCUGUGCUCGCUAACGAGAAACUUUCGCGUCGGGUAGAUCGUAAACAAUCGCGCCGCGAACAAUCUGUACGCGCGACAAUGUAAUUCCGUGAUUUUCAGGAUAUCUCACCUCGGCGGCACAAUUGUAAUUUUCGCAUCAUGUCCGCCAGGGAGAUUCAAUUAAUUCCAAUUUGCACGUACCAGCAGUACCGAGGCAAUAUAUCCCGAGUCCCCCGUGGCUUCUUCCGGUACGUUUGAUAAUGCCCGUCUCGAGAAUUCUUCCGUUGAAAAUAUCGCUCGAGAUUUUUCUCUCGAGACAAAAAGCGCCGACCGCCCGCACGCGUAACCCCCACGAAGCAUCCAUUCAUAUCGCGAAGACGCCGUAGUGCUUCGACGACAAGAAGGAAGGACGGCGAUAUUAAAAGAACGAAGUUUCACUAAAGGAACCUGGCGAUGAUUAAUGCGCCGAAGAGGUGAUGUGGCGAAACUCCGGCUGGACGGCCAUCCUGGCCGUUUGGACGCUCUUCUUGAUUUUGAAUAGCGGCUUAGCCGGCGAGAGGAUUUCCGAUAAUCCGGGCAUCAACAAGGACGCUCGCACCUCCCGCGAGGUUCGCCGAGGAGCCGCAAUUCCCGUGCUCGAUAAGCAGCCCGUUGACGAUUCCCGGCCGCGGCGAUACGCGAGAGAGAGCGAUCGUUCAUCAACGUAUACGGGGGCGGUACCGCCGGCUGAAUCGAAAAAUACGGCAACUCGGCACUUGAAUGGCCUCGGAAAGCGCAUUGCGAUGUCAAACGCAAUAGCCACGCCAUCGCCGAAGUGCUCGAGAGGCGGAGGAGGCGACGGAAAUGCUCGACUGGCCGCCGCUGAAAGAGUCGCAACGGUGAGUACGCGGUUGUCGCAAAUAGUAAUUCCGGAAAAGCCGGGGGACGCGCGCUACCGCGAGUCGUCCCGAGUGCGGGAAGCGAGAAACGCCCGGAGCCACGGAGGAGGUCGGAAAGAAGAAACCACCAACGUGUUUUUAGACAUUCGCAAAGAGACACGGGCGGUCAGGCGUGACGCGACGAUCGACCGGCGAAGAGGGCGACAUUUUAACGGAGGAAACGGCGCGACCGCAGCUGUAUUCCUCCACGGCAAGUUCUUCAAACGCUCAGGCCGCUCACGCGCGCGACGGCUCUUCGACGCUUCGACGACGGCGGAUCCUCGGCAUCGCGAUCUCACGAGGAACAGCGUGAACGAAGCGAGCUACGCCGAAGACGACGGCGAUUCGCGGCUCUCGGCGGAGACGGCCUUCCCGAGGCGCUCGGCUUCGAGAGGGAAUCAAAGUCACGCGGCUGUGCGAAGCGCGCCGGAUAUUUUUACAGACCGCACGAUCGCGAGGACCUCCUCGUCGCACGGAAGACCCGCCGCGAUCAUUGCGAGCUCGUGGACCGUGUGGAUCUCGGGUCCCGGGGUCCGCGAAAAGCCGUUCGGUCGCUAUCACUUCCCGCGGGACGAGUAUCCGAAAUCAAGCUACAAAGCGACCGUCGAGUCUCCGGCGCUCGGUCGGCUGCUGCACGAGCGGCGCCGCGGAGGGAAACGCUCAAAGAUAGGACUUGAGGUAAAUACAAGCGUGCGCGAGGACAGAAGACGGGACGAGGAUGCCAGGAACUCCCUCGCUUCUCGCGCACCGAAUUCGCCCGAUGGAUAUCUCAAUGCGAGUCGCUUUAUGGAACGACCGCCGGUGCGGGGCGAGGAAGGGGGGGACGCUGCUUUGAGAGCAGCGAGAGAUGCAGAGGCCUCGCGACGCGAAUAUCAUUCUUCGGUACGCAAUGUCGGCGGGCUACGGGGCGAGCGAGCGACGAGUCUGCCGCGAGUAAGAAGGAAGACCAUCGGGCCGAAGGGACUCGAAGGGGUGAGCGGCGAUGCGAUGGUGGACGAGAGCGAUCCGUCAUCUCCCGAUUUGGCUGCCGGCUCGCGGCUCGAUGAGUCGCAGCCGGAGCUUCCGAUAUCAGCGCGUAUUUCAGUCACGCAGCGGUGGAAUCCAAUGCACGUGCGACACGUUAAGUCCGGAAUGGCCUGCGAGCGUCGGCUCGCGGUUGGCCAGGCCGAAGUUCGCGGUGCGGUUGAAGUCGGCCUCCGGAAUGUCUCCGGCGGGCCCGCGUCGGCGGGGGUUGCAAAAUUCGGAAACUCGUCCGAGCAAAGAGCGCGGAGUCGGCCGAGAUAUUCGCGGAAGUUGACGGCGCUCGGACCUGUUAGACCGUCGUCACGCAUCGUCGUGGAGUCGGCAGGUGACGGGCGCGUCUCGGGACUCGACGGCCGGUCUUCGCAGACUUCCACCGCGAGCGGAUCGGUCUCUCCCGACGCGGUGAUUAUCGCCAAUAAUUCGAUCGAGAUGUGGCACACCGAUGAACACGCGUCGCCAACUCCGCCGUUCGAGGAGCUCACGGACGAGCUUGGGUUUCGCGAAAGCGCGGAAAUCGUGCGAACGAACAAUCCGGGUGGAAAGGAGGAUGACGCGCCAAGAGAGCCCGCUAGCCGAAGCCCUCGAGACGAAGACGCUCGCGACUCGACGUAUCGGCGAUAUAAGCGUCACCAAGUUUGGUCGAGCCCUUGGAAAAGUUGGACGUUGACGAAGUCUAAGACGCGUAGGGCACUCGACACGAUAACAAGACCGGAGACGAUGAGAAUGGUGAGCCCGACGCUCGAGUUGAUCGCGAGCCCAUCCAUUUCGACUGCUCAAAUGAGCGAUACGGCUCGAGUGUCACUCUCCGCCGAAGAAUCCAUCAUGAGUAUCGUGGGGACGACGACGACGUCGUCUCCCAAGUACCGCGGAAUCCAGACGGAACGGCGAUCGAUAACGCCGGUGGCCACCGAUUACGCGCGAUACACCAGCAGCACUCGAGCGAGAACGAGCUCCGACUCAUUAGAGAUACCGGCGCACACCGGCGCCCCGAAAACGUCGUCGAGCGUCAGCACGGCGGAAAGACCGGCUUCAUCUCUGAUGAAGACGCGCGAUCGAUCGACCGCGGUAACCAAAAUAGAUAACUCCGUUACCCGCGAAGAAGCAGCUCCGCCGGUUGCGGAAGUAACCGCGCGGCCAGCCGGCCGCGAGAACACCUCGAGCGGGUCAUCAAUCGAGCCGAUUAGCUCGGCGGAAGGACGUGCGGAGUACGCCGACAGCUCGGCCGGCCUGACGACCCCGAUCGUAGAUUCGCCUGCUCCAAGCAGCGGCGAGCACACUCGAGGUGUCUUCGUUAACGUCACGGCGGAGAAUGUCGACGACUCAUCGGCCGGUACCGCGCUCUUGGACCAGUGGCCGGUGAAACACAGCGCGGUGGUGGAGGGCGACCUCGUCCUCGGUGGGUUAAUGAUGGUCCACGAGCGGGAAGAUACCAUCACAUGCGGCCCUGUGAUGCCUCAGGGUGGAGUGCAGGCCCUCGAGGCGAUGCUGUAUACGUUGGAUACGCUCAACGAUCGGGAGAUCGUGCCGGGGGUUAAGAUCGGGGCGCACAUACUCGACGACUGCGACAAGGACACGUACGGCCUUGAGAUGGCGGUGGAUUUCAUCAAAGGUCUCCUUUUUCUCGACGAGCCCGGAACUCUCCAACAAGCAACGCUUCGAGUAUUUCAGCCGUACCAUACCCAGUGAUCACUAUCAGGUCAAAGCGAUGGUCGACAUCGUAUUGAAAAUGGGCUGGAGCUAUGUUUCCAUCAUAUACGAGGAGAGCAACUAUGGCAUAAAGGCUUUCGAGGAGCUUGAGGAACUGCUCGGGAAACAUAACAUAUGUAUCGCCAUCAAAGAAAAGCUGGUAAAGGACUCCGGGGUCGCCGAGGAGAUCGCCUACGACAAUAUAGUUUCGAAACUGCUGACAAAGCCACG
rnacentral:misc_RNA from 1 species